CCCUUCUCAGGAUGGCACCUGGAGAGUUUCCAGUACUCUACCAGUCUCGGCUAUGGGAGGGAGAGUCAAGUAGAUGCAUACCCAUUCCAUUCCUAGCUUGGGAAGUGGCUAACAUGUGGAAGGCAAUCUACUUCAAGU